UUCAUUUAACACUGUUCUGUCACUGGUACUCAACUUGUUUGUUUUUUGAGCCGUUUUCUUUAUAUUAAAAGAAAUUCUAUUCACUGUCAUUUUACCUACUUAUCAUAAACGUUUUUGCAUUAAAUAACCCAUUUGUAUAAACGAUAAAUGACCGUGAUUCUCCUUGUGACAACAACCAUAUCCAAAAUACUUUUAUGAUAUCUCAAAGCUUUAAAAUGGUGUUAAUUGUGUUUCAUUUUAGGGAAAAAUCACUGCUACCGCUGCAUUUAUAAUUUAAAAAAUAAAUUUUUCAAUUUCAAAUAAAAUCAUAUAAAAUUGAAAGGUGCUUUCUACACGUUAAUUAGGUACCUCACUUUCAAUGAAUCAUAAUGUAGAUUUUUCUUUGGUUAUAACACAGCAAGAAAUUAUUAAACAUGGACCAUCUUUAGAUAAAACGCUUAAAAGAUACGUGUUGGGUUAUUGCGCUGUAAGACACUAUGAUUUGAUAGCAUUAAAGAAUACCUUAUCAAAUUCGGGAAUUCACGCUUCAUUUCUGGAUGAUAAAGAACAUAUUCUGCAUUUUAAUUUGUUAGAAUUUCAUUUAUACCACGAUUUCCAACGAAACAAAGAACGUUUGAAUGAAAUUUCUAAGGUUCACAGUUUUGUUUUAGAAAAUGGAGUUUUUGUGUGUUGGGGUCUUAUGAAUGAGCUUCAUUUAACAGAUAAAGAAGCAGUUGAAUUCAUGAUCAAAGAAGCCCAUUCACCUAUUUUAGAAUUUCUCGAUCGAUUUUCCAAUGGUAUUUGGCCCCCUUCAUGGAGUCGUAUUGAUAUAUUACCUUAUUAUCAUAUUUUACCACUGUCUCACCAAAAUGUUUCAAAUUUUUCUAUUAACGCAAAAAAUAAUUUUGAAUUCCAAAAACAAGUUAGAGAUGAACUUCUUGCAGCAUCCUUAGCCUUUGGAACAUCUUGUCGACUUUGCGUUUAUGAAAAUGCAGUGGAUCACGCUAUUUUAAAAUUUGAUGCAUUACCUUCACAACUAGCCUCGAAUAAAUUUGAUCAGCAUUUCAUCUAUGGCAGUUCUCAAAUACGUAAAAUACGGCAAUGGGUUGGAGAAAUUUAUGCCAUCACUGUCGUGAUUAACAUCGCUGAAGGUUUAUUUUACAUAGUUAUCUCUCUUUUCACAUUUAAUUCAUUAGACUUCCUAGAUGUACCUGAAUAUUUUUGGCAUCAUGAUAUCUAUCAACCAGUUUGGCAACGUAUUCAUCAAUACUUUCAAUUAGACAAUCGUAUAAAGGUUUUGAAUCUACGAUUAAAAUGUUUAAAAGAUGUUUUAAAAACGAUCGCUCGACGUCGCGUUUCAGAGCCAUUAUCUUUCGUUUUGCGUCAUUGUUCUUCUAGUCAUAGGAUUGUUAUUAUUGGUGCUUGAAGAGUAUAUUGAUAUUUCAAAAUUUUUUUCUUAAAUAAGUUUUGUUAUUUUGAUAGCAAAGCAGUUUUUUUUUAAUUACAAUACUGCAAAAAAUGUAUUGUUUUAUAUUUUCAUUCAAGUUAUCUUCUAACAAAUAUUUGAGGUUUUAUAAUUCCCAUUAUGUUUACUAUCAGUAUCUAUAUUCAUUUGUUACUGGAUGUAGAAUUUAUAGUAUAUUUGGAAAUUACCCCAACAAAUAGCAGCUGACGGGGCUGUAAAUAAAAGUCUUAAGAAAGCACCCUAAAAACAGAACAAAUUCGUGUUUAAUAUUUUUGUCAUAAUAUUACCCUCCAAAAAACUUUGUAUCCUUCUUCCUUAAAAAGAAGCUUUGCCGUUGUCUUGAAAUUCUAAAAUAAAAAUUUUAUUUUUAUUGAAAAGAAUGGAGUAAUUACUAAUAAAGUACUGUAUAACGAGGCGUUUGCACGUUGCCUUGAUUUCCAUGUAUCACAGAAGAGGGAAAGUGUGAAGACGGCAUAGUCCAAGGUUUUCGUUGAUUUUUAAAUGAAAAAAACGGUUCUUUACGGAAGAAUCUAUUUUGAAACAUGGCAUUAGUCACAAAUGUACAAAUAUGUACACAAAGAAAGGAGAAUAGAUAAAGAUAGAGAGAUAGAAAGACAAAACCAUAUAGUUAAAAAGAGAGCAAGAAACAGAGAGAAAGACAAACUGAGAAAGAAAGUGAAAGAUAUAGAAAGAGAAGGCAAAACAGAGAGGAAAAGACAAAGAAAUAGAGAAAAAAAGGAGAGUUUGUAGUAAAAAAGAAAAGUGAGAAAACC